CCUACGGGAGGCAGCAGUGGGGAAUAUUGCACAAUGGGCGCAAGCCUGAUGCAGCCAUGCCGCGUGUAUGAAGAAGGCCUUCGGGUUGUAAAGUACUUUCAGUUGUGAGGAAGGGGGUGUUGUUAAUAGCAACAUCUCUUGACGUUAGCAACAGAAGAAGCACCGGCUAACUCCGUGCCAGCAGCCGCGGUAAUACGGAGGGUGCGAGCGUUAAUCGGAAUUACUGGGCGUAAAGCGCAUGCAGGUGGUUCAUUAAGUCAGAUGUGAAAGCCCGGGGCUCAACCUCGGAACUGCAUUUGAAACUGGUGAACUAGAGUACUGUAGAGGGGGGUAGAAUUUCAGGUGUAGCGGUGAAAUGCGUAGAGAUCUGAAGGAAUACCAGUGGCGAAGGCGGCCCCCUGGACAGAUACUGACACUCAGAUGCGAAGGCGUGGGGAGCAAACAGGAUUAGAUACCCUGGUAGUCCACGCCGUAAACGACGUCUACUUGGAGGUUGUGGCCUUGAGCCGUGGCUUUCGGAGCUAACGCGUUAAGUGGACCGCCUGGGGAGUACGGUCGCAAGAUUAAAACUCAAGGAAUUGACGG
rnacentral:rRNA from 1 species